UGGCAAAACUGUUGAAAGGUUAACCGUCAACAUGGCGUUCUCAGCAUCUCUCAAAGGCACUUAGGAAACUAGAUGCAAGGAGAUGAGUAGCAGCCAGAGAGCACCCCAGAGAGUACACUUGUGCUUAUUAUUCCACAUGAUUACAUAUUCAAAUUGGUUUUAAUUCCUGGGCAGCCAUGGGGAUGUUGGGGGAGGUGGGAAAUAGCCUGCUGGAAAGGCGCAAGAACGGCGGAAGGAGCUGGUCUGGCAUUAAAAAUGUGCUGCAGAUACUUCCCUAAGGCAAACGAGCCUCACAAUUAUGAAUUCAGGCAACAAGAAAAGAGCUGUGGAUCUAAAAAACGAGGUUGAUUUUCCACGUUACAUAUGGUAAUCCCUUUCAAUACAUUAAGAAUUCUACUUUGCAUCGGCAUUAUAGACUUCUUUUUCUUGAAUCCUUCAUAAAGGGCUUUUAAAAAUUCUAAUGUAGCCAGGAAUCUGUAAUAGAACCUAAUUGAGAUGUGUUGUGAGACCUGGAAGGAUUCAUCACAGGAGGAUGGAACUGAAUUAGGAGGAGGUGAGACUCAGAGAAUGAAAUGCAGCAGGGACUUGGAGGAGAUGGAUUGGACUCAACACAGCAUUAUCUAGAAGGUUAGCUGGAAUAAGACUCUGCUUUUGGCUUCAGGUAAACCGGUCUUGGAUGCAGGCUGCAGAUCUGGUCUCAGGUAUGUUGCUCUGUAUUCAUUUUGGAGUCCAGGUUGAAGGGAUACCUGCUAGCAGGGGUAAGCUCUUCUCAUGGGAGUCUCCUAGCGGGCAAGAGGCUGAGUGCAACCA